CUUGCCAAGGGCAUUCCCCAUUGUGGUAAGACAAAUGUUGUAAAAGGUGAAAGAGAUAUCCUGUGAGAUUGUCUGUCUUCAGUAAUGCUUUUUUUUACAUGUUUAUAAUUUAGAUUCUGUGAAGGUUUCUGCAAAGAAUUAUGUAAUUUGGUACUAACUUUUAUAGAAAUAGGAAUUUCAUUGAAUUUAAACCCAAAUGAAUUGUAAUUUUGUCAAUUUUUCUGACUUCAUUUUUCAAAUGUUGACUCCUAUGCUUGCCUGUUGACAAAUAUCACAUUUUUGCAUGUUCAGCUGACGCCCUGUGUUUUUUUUAAAGCUUGAGAGUGUGCCAGACAAGGUCACACAGUUCUUUUGAAGCCUAUUGCCGUCGGGGAAAGGUCUCUAUAUUGCUCAUUAUACUGGAGUUUCGGAGUCAGGCGCACCGGAAGUGAUGCGUUUUGUGUCAUCCAGCCAGAGCGAAAGAGGGGAGAGAAUAAUUUAUGUAUUUUAACGUUAGGUUUGUUGUUGUUAUGUUUUUUGUUUGGCACUGCCUUUGCUUUGUUUUUUUUCUCAAUGCUUCACAUAUAUGUGUGUGUGUGUGUGUGUGUGUGUGUGUGUGUGUGUGUGUGUGUGUGUGUGUGUGUUUCUGAUGUUUUCUUUUGACAGGCCUACUAUGUAUGUUGACAGUUUGAUAGAAAGAUUUUUGAAAAUAAGGGGGAGCAGGGGUCCGUUUCACAAAGCAGGUUCAACAAACUCUGAGUCUAAUCCUGAACUCUGAGUUGAUCUACUCUGAGAUAGGAAACUCUGAGUUUCCGGUUCCAGAACAGCUGAUUUACAACUAUAAAAAGCCAGCAUCAAUGGAGCCCCGAUUCGACGAGUCACCAUGGCAACGGGGAAGAGGAGGGCUGCGUUUUUCACCCCACUAGAAUUAGAAAUCUUAAUGCGCUCAUAUUGCGAGUUUGCACACGUUUUCAAAAAGAAGUGCAACACCGCUGCAGCUGCAAAAGAGAGGGAGACGGUGUGGGAGAACAUUGCUGCUCGGGUCAAUGCGUGCAAUCCCGCGGGGGAGAAGCGCACUUGGCAGCAGUUUAGGAUGAAAUAUAAAAACAUUGUUCAAACAGGUAAGACCUCGGCAUAAUCUCAUGGGGGUACCUCAUUUUGAUCAUGUUUUACAUUGUAAAGUAAAUAUUAAGUGGCUGUUUGACUGUGCAGUUGUUUUAUCCCCAACAUAAUGCUGUUUUCACACACAUAAAUGUCUUCUCAUCUAUAUCAUGUUCUGUUAAAUAAUUAAGCCUAUUUAAACUAACACAGACUUCUACUCAGCCAACAGAAAGAAGGCAGAUGCCCGUAAAACGAGCACACUUUUCUGACCGCCCUGCAUACAGUUGCCUUACUCAAGUGCUCAGCAUCUCCGACAUUGUACAAAAAACUUCCAUUUGCAAAGAAACGCAGCGCAACACACAAUAUCUGCUGGGAUGUGAGAGCAUGACUACGAUUGGUAAUGUUGCAAAUGUAAGGACGGAUUAGGUUGUGUAUGUAGAUGAUGGACUGUGACGUGAAACGGUACCGCUCAAAAAGAUAAUUGUGUGGAAAUGCUAAAACAUCUAUGCGCGGUCUGAUAACCAUCUCCCGACGAAUAUUUAAUUCUCUGCGCAGUAAUGCUGCACCUUCAUCCACGGGAUCGUUAUCAAAAGGACAUGCCA